GCAGUGCCUAAUACAUGCAAGUCGAACGAACUCUGGUAUUGAUUGGUGCUUGCAUCAUGAUUUACAUUUGAGUGAGUGGCGAACUGGUGAGUAACACGUGGGAAACCUGCCCAGAAGCGGGGGAUAACACCUGGAAACAGAUGCUAAUACCGCAUAACAACUUGGACCGCAUGGUCCGAGUUUGAAAGAUGGCUUCGGCUAUCACUUUUGGAUGGUCCCGCGGCGUAUUAGCUAGAUGGUGAGGUAACGGCUCACCAUGGCAAUGAUACGUAGCCGACCUGAGAGGGUAAUCGGCCACAUUGGGACUGAGACACGGCCCAAACUCCUACGGGAGGCAGCAGUAGGGAAUCUUCCACAAUGGACGAAAGUCUGAUGGAGCAACGCCGCGUGAGUGAAGAAGGGUUUCGGCUCGUAAAACUCUGUUGUUAAAGAAGAACAUAUCUGAGAGUAACUGUUCAGGUAUUGACGGUAUUUAACCAGAAAGCCACGGCUAACUACGUGCCAGCAGCCGCGGUAAUACGUAGGUGGCAAGCGUUGUCCGGAUUUAUUGGGCGUAAAGCGAGCGCAGGCGGUUUUUUAAGUCUGAUGUGAAAGCCUUCGGCUCAACCGAAGAAGUGCAUCGGAAACUGGGAAACUUGAGUGCAGAAGAGGACAGUGGAACUCCAUGUGUAGCGGUGAAAUGCGUAGAUAUAUGGAAGAACACCAGUGGCGAAGGCGGCUGUCUGGUCUGUAACUGACGCUGAGGCUCGAAAGUAUGGGUAGCAAACAGGAUUAGAUACCCUGGUAGUCCAUACCGUAAACGAUGAAUGCUAAGUGUUGGAGGGUUUCCGCCCUUCAGUGCUGCAGCUAACGCAUUAAGCAUUCCGCCUGGGGAGUACGGCCGCAAGGCUGAAACUCAAAGGAAUUGACGGGGGCCCGCACAAGCGGUGGAGCAUGUGGUUUAAUUCGAAGCUACGCGAAGAACCUUACCAGGUCUUGACAUACUAUGCAAAUCUAAGAGAUUAGACGUUCCCUUCGGGGACAUGGAUACAGGUGGUGCAUGGUUGUCGUCAGCUCGUGUCGUGAGAUGUUGGGUUAAGUCCCGCAACGAGCGCAACCCUUAUUAUCAGUUGCCAGCAUUAAGUUGGGCACUCUGGUGAGACUGCCGGUGACAAACCGGAGGAAGGUGGGGAUGACGUCAAAUCAUCAUGCCCCUUAUGACCUGGGCUACACACGUGCUACAAUGGAUGGUACAACGAGUUGCGAACUCGCGAGAGUAAGCUAAUCUCUUAAAGCCAUUCUCAGUUCGGAUUGUAGGCUGCAACUCGCCUACAUGAAGUCGGAAUCGCUAGUAAUCGCGGAUCAGCAUGCCGCGGUGAAUACGUUCCCGGGCCUUGUACACACCGCCCGUCACACCAUGAGAGUUUGUAACACCCAAAGUCGGUGGGGUAACCUUUUAGGAACCAGCCGCCUAAGGUGGGACAGAUGGC
rnacentral:rRNA from 1 species